UGCAAGCUUGGCGUUGAUAGUGUCUCCGCUCUUUUUAGACUUCUUGGUAACCACAGAUGCCAUUUUUACUUUUGUUGGAGAAAGGUGGUGCUAGAAAACUUAUGCUUCAUAAUUGUUCAGGACAAAUUAAAAUGUGACUGCUUCAAACCCUACCCUAAAGAUCUCAACUUUCAAGUUGAGCUAUUCAUAAGAAUAUUGUAUUAUGGAUUUCAUUUAAUAAGUUAGUUUUCUGACCUUCUAUUUUUCAAUUUAUUAAUCUCUACUAUUUGUUACUAUUUUAAGGGCAGGAGUUGGCUCUGAUAAUUGGCUUUACUAUCUCCAAUCCUAUAAUCGUACCUUUCAAGUUAUAGCUAUUUCAUAUAAAAAUAAAAACUAAACUU